GGACGAACGCUGGCGGCGUGCUUAACACAUGCAAGUCGAACGGAAAGGCCUCUUCCUUUUUGGUUGGGGUGCUCGAGUGGCGAACGGGUGAGUAACACGUGAGUAACCUGCCCUCUUCUCUGGGAUAAGCUUGGGAAACUGGGUCUAAUACUGGAUAUUCUGCUCUGGUCGCAUGGUUGGGGUUGGAAAGGUUUUUUCUGGUGGGGGAUGGGCUCGCGGCCUAUCAGCUUGUUGGUGGGGUGAUGGCCUACCAAGGCUUCGACGGGUAGCCGGCCUGAGAGGGUGACCGGCCACACUGGGACUGAGAUACGGCCCAGACUCCUACGGGAGGCAGCAGUGGGGAAUAUUGCACAAUGGGCGCAAGCUUGAUGCAGCGACGCCGCGUGGGGGAUGACGGCUUUCGGGUUGUAAACCUCUUUCGAUGGGGAACAAGGCAUCUUUUGGGUGUUGAGUGUACCUGUAUAAGAAGCGCCGGC
rnacentral:rRNA from 1 species